ACCUUUGCAGGGUCCGGUGCGCCCCCGACGAUCCUUGAAAAUCCGCGGGAAGGAAUAGUUUUCACGCCAGGUCGUACUCAUAACCGCAGCAGGUCUCCAAGGUGAACAGCCUCUAGUUG
rfam:Aspergillus kawachii IFO 4308 DNA, contig: contig01605.